UGAGGAAUAUUGGUCAAUGGACGAGAGUCUGAACCAGCCAAGUAGCGUGAAGGAUGAAGGCCCUAUGGGUCGUAAACUUCUUUUAUAGGGGAAUAAAGUGCGGAACGUGUUCCGCUUUGUAUGUACCAUACGAAUAAGGGUCGGCUAACUCCGUGCCAGCAGCCGCGGUAAUACGGAGGACCCGAGCGUUAUCCGGAUUUAUUGGGUGUAAAGGGUGCGUAGACGGGAAUGUAAGUUAGUUGUGAAAUCCCUCGGCUUAACUGAGGAACUGCAACUAAAACUACAUUUCUUGAGUGCAGGAGAGGAAAGUGGAAUUCCUAGUGUAGCGGUGAAAUGCGUAGAUAUUAGGAGGAACACCAGUGGCGAAGGCGACUUACUGGACGAUAACUGACGCUGAGGCUCGAAAGCGUGGGGAGCAAACA
rnacentral:rRNA from 1 species